GGGAGGGAGCAGUUAGGAAUAUUGGUCAAAGGAAGCAAGUCUGAACCAGCCAUGGCGCGAGAAAGAUGACAGCCCUAAGGGUUGUAAACUUCUUUGGUAGGGGAAAAAACCACCGGUCGUGGACCGGUGCUGAUGGUACCGUAAGAAUAAGCAUCGGCUAACUCCCUGCCAGCAGCGGUGAUAAUAGGGAGGAUGCAUGCUUCAUCAGUGAUUCAUUGGAAAUAAAGGGUGCGCAGGCGGAAAAAUAAGUCAGUAAAUAAUCGUACUGAUCAACUGUAGAACAUGCCAUUGAUACAAUCGUUCUUGAGUACAAUGGGAGUGGGAAUGACAUGUGUCAUGUAGCGAUGAAAUGCUUAUAUAUGACACAGAACACCGAUAGGGAAGGCAUCUCACUAAAUUGUAACUGACGGUCCGGCAAGAAAGGGUGGGGAUCCAGCAUGAUUAGCUACCUUGGUCGUCCCCGCAAUAAAGGAUGAUCAGUUGAUGUGGGAUAUACACUGUCAGCGUCGAAGC
rnacentral:rRNA from 1 species